rnacentral:lncRNA from 1 species
CUUUCUUGUUGCCACUUUCUAACUGCUUUAGUGCUUGACUUGAUUUCCAAGGGACAUGACGAGGCCUUAAGUUGAUUAAUUGUGAAGGACAGACCUACAGAAUCAUAAUAUAGACAAUCUAUGCUUGGUGGCGCUGAGAAAGGAGAAAAUCCCUUGGAAAGAUUACCAAUAACUCCUCAGGUCUCCCUGAUGCUGAAGAAAACCUAUGUGUUCUGUUAUGAUGCAUCUAGAUUUAUUUCCAUUACCAUCGAAAAAUGUAUUUCAAAUUUUGGUUCAAUCCCUCAGCUGCUCUGUGUUUCCCCUCAGGCAUAUAGUACGCACUUUUAAAAAGCCACAUGUGAAACCAUGAUCUGGUGGUUGAU